rnacentral:rRNA from 1 species
UGGGGAAUUUUGGACAAUGGGCGAAAGCCUGAUCCAGCAAUGCCGCGUGUGUGAAGAAGGCCUUCGGGUUGUAAAGCACUUUUGUCCGGAAAGAAAUGGCUCUGGUUAAUACCUGGGGUCGAUGACGGUACCGGAAGAAUAAGGACCGGCUAACUACGUGCCAGCAGCCGCGGUAAUACGUAGGGUCCAAGCGUUAAUCGGAAUUACUGGGCGUAAAGCGUGCGCAGGCGGUUGUGCAAGACCGAUGUGAAAUCCCCGAGCUUAACUUGGGAAUUGCAUUGGUGACUGCACGGCUAGAGUGUGUCAGAGGGGGGUAGAAUUCCACGUGUAGCAGUGAAAUGCGUAGAGAUGUGGAGGAAUACCGAUGGCGAAGGCAGCCCCCUGGGAUAACACUGACGCUCAUGCACGAAAGCGUGGGGAGCAAACAGGAUUAGAUACCCUGGUAGUCCACGCCCUAAACGAUGUCAACUAGUUGUUGGGGAUUCAUUUCCUUAGUACGUAGCUAACGCGUGAAGUUG